rnacentral:rRNA from 1 species
UACGGAGGAUGCAAGCGUUAUCCGGAAUUAUUGGGCGUAAAGCGUCCGCAGGUGGCUGUGUAAGUCUGCUGUCAAAGAGCAAAGCUCAACUUUGUAAAGGCAGUGGAAACUACACGGCUAGAGUGCGUUCGGGGCAGAGGGAAUUCCUGGUGUAGCGGUGAAAUGCGUAGAGAUCAGGAAGAACACCGGUGGCGAAGGCGCUCUGCUAGGCCGCAACUGACACUGAGGGACGAAAGCUAGGGGAGCGAACAGG